rnacentral:lncRNA from 1 species
GUGACCUUCUGGAUUUCUGAGCCUGGGCCUGGCAACUUCUGCUUCACUUCUUGGGAGCCAGCUGCUAUGUAAAGAAGACUGAGCAAGACAGCUGAAAGAUAUGUAGAGAGAGAAGCCAAGACAGUGCCCAGCUAUCCCAGUCACACCCACAGACUCACCACAUGUAUGAGUGAAGCCAUCUUGGACUUUCCAGCUGAGCUCCCAGCUAAAGGCAGCUGCAAGGGUGAUCCCAGCUGAUGCCAUGUGAAACAGAAGAACCAUCCACCUGAGCCCAGCCAAGUAUCUGAAGCUACAUAUGCCAGAGUCCCCCUGCUUGGGAUGGAGGAGAGCUGUUUUACUCCCAACACAGUCCAGACAAGGCUAACCAUAUGAUGCUGAUGCUGCUGGUGUAUGGAUCUUGGAUGAGGCUGCAUCUCCUGGGUGGAGGUGCUGCAGCCCAGUGAGCAUCAGGGAAGACUGGAGCACUGAU